rnacentral:rRNA from 1 species
GACGAACGCUGGCGGCGUGCUUAACACAUGCAAGUCGAACGGAAAGGCCCCUUUGGGGGUACUCGAGUGGCGAACGGGUGAGUAACACGUGAGUAACCUGCCCUUGACUUCGGGAUAACUUCAGGAAACUGGGGCUAAUACCGGAUAGGAAUCCUUGCUGCAUGGUGGGGGUUGGAAAGCUUCGGCGGUUUUGGAUGGACACGCGGCUCAUCAGCUUGUUGGUGGGGUAGUGGCUUACCAAGGCUUUGACGGGUAGCCGGCCUGAGAAGGCGACCGGCCACAUUGGGACUGAGAUACGGCCCAGACUCCUACGGGAGGCAGCAGUGGGGAAUAUUGCACAAUGGGCGGAAGCCUGAUGCAGCAACGCCGCGUGCGGGAUGACGGCCUUCGGGUUGUAAACCGCUUUCAGCAGGGGCGAAGCUUGUGGUGACGGUACCUGCAGAAGAAGCACCGGCUAACUACGUG